UUCUUCAAAUUUCUUCACCAAAGCACCCACAAAUUCGGCUCCUUAUUACACCUAAGAUUAUGAAUUAAAUCAGAUUCAAAUCCAACCUUAUUAAAAAAAAGCAUGGGAAAUUUCACAUAGUUAAUCAUAGGCUCGACAAUACAGAUCAAGUUCAGCACAUGAUCACGAACCAAUUUCCCUGAGGACACCUUUACGGAAACCUUCUUCAUACCACGGAUAUUCCAGAAAAGAACACGCAUGGUCACAUAAGAGAGGAGGCAGAUUGAUCAGACCUUGCAAGGGCCUGAUCCUUUUGGGCAACCUUCUUACCCUUCUUCUGCUAAAUGACCUAGCCAUCAUUUGCCUCUUCCCUAUGUCUAGCAGCCCUAUCGAUGACAUCAACCCCAGCACCACCUCAAUUCUGACUUGUAUGUCCAGUCUCGCGUCCAACAUUGAGCAUCAGACCUCCACGGUGUGCAUAACGAAGGCUCCUUCAUACAGCUUCUUGAUGAGCAAUUCCUUGUAGCGCAGAGGCUACAGUGGUACCCCCGUCAGGGUCGAUCUCAGCCCUCAAAUCCGAGUCCGUUAGAUCAUGGGUAAUGGGUUGCUCCAUAUCAUGAUUUGGCAAUAUUCUACUAUCCAAAUCAGAUCGCUCCACAUCAAGGAUAACUUCUAACCGUGGCUAGGUUACCAUAUUUGGGAGAGUGUUAAUAUUGGUAUGAGAUCUCACUUGAUUGCCCAAUGGGGAAUGCCUCCUUGAUUGAGGCGUGCAAUCCUCCAAGAUUUUAUCCUCUAAUUCACCUUUCGAAUUUGGAACAAGAUCCCCAUCACUGCCUUCUGUGGUAGCUCCACCCUCUUAUGGGUGGUUUUUCCCCAUCUUGCCACCUCCUCCGCCUUCUGAGGCGGCAUCAUCUCCAGCAUACAGAGGGUUGGUUCUGGCGAACUAACCACUCAUUGUGGCUCCUCGUCGGCAUAAACAACACCUAGGAUACCAAGCUCCCUCUCCACCUCAGCAUCUCUGGCAUUAGCUAGCUUCUUGUCUCUGCAGGAAAAAAUCGUGUGGCCCAGUUUUUUGUAAAAACCAUAGCAACCAGGGUUGUCUUCAUAUGUGAUUUUUUGUUUGAACCAGAAAAGUGUGGAUGUCCCAGGCUGCCUUCUCUCUACUUGGAUCUCCUCCGCCCUUAUACCUCCAAUCUCCAUCUCUACCAAAACACGAGCAAAGUUUUCGUACAUGACUUGUUUGGUGCACUGAUCAAGCACCGCAUGCCUACCUGCCGCCUUCGCCAUAGUCAGGAGGACCUUCUCAUGCUAGAAUUCCUAUGGCAAGUCUGGAAAUCAGAUCCAAACCAAGGCCUUAUUCACAUGUUUUUUGUGGAUAUUAAAGUUAGGGCGCCACCCCUGAAAUCUGAUGUAUUGGCCUCCCAAUCUGAUCGAGUUGUGCUUUCAGAUGAAGGCCAUAUCGCUUUUAAUGUCAAACUGAAAAAUGGUGUACCCUUUACUCAUGGGAACCAUCUUCACCUUCCCCUUCAGCUUCCAACCUUCUGUGGCCCCACGUCUAGUUGCAUCCAAAGAAAUAUAUCGGAAAUUAAUCCUUUCGAUUAGAGCAAAAUAGUAUUUCUUCAGUCUAUCUUCAUAAGCAUCCUGAGGGAUGAUGACCUUGGUGGAGGUACCAGCAUGGAUGGGAUCAGGGAGGUCAUCUGCCUCGGUGAAAAUACUCCCAACAGCCGAUGCAUAGGAUUUCUGAGUAGGUGUAGCUGGCGAAUUAGGAACUUGAUCCACAGGGGGAGAACCAUCGAGAUCCUGCCCAUCACCCAAAGCUCUUGCCGCCUUUGGCACUCCAAGGUUAUUGCUCAUCGUUGCCAUCACCGGGCUCCUCUACAAUAUUAAUACCUUCAUACUUUGUCCUCAAGCAAAGUGUGCACAUGGUAGAGCUUUGUCAUGUGUGCUUGCUGCAUCCUAUGGUAUGUUGGCUUUUGUGAUUGUAUGUAGUUAAUUGCACCUUUUGUGGUGCCUUGUUGUGUUGCGACCACGUGCUUGUUGUAGGAUGAGGCAAGAUUGGGCCAUUACCUACAUGGUUGCUCUACCGCACUACUUUGGCCACCCAAAUUUUGAAAUUUGCACAGUGAUACUCCCUUGUGGACCGCUGCUUGUGUGCAGGCUCAACCUUACAAGAAUAUGGAGUUCGUGCUUGCUACAACUUGUUGGGCUUGUCGCGUGGCCAGUAUUUAGUCCAGGUACUUCGAACUCCUUGAGAGGGUGUGGCCUUGUUGAUUUGUGGCCUGAAUCAACAACUUUUCACGGGGCUAUAGCUGAAUGUAAAUGAUGUAUGGUGACCUUGUGUAUAUGUUGAGGGGACUUAAAAUGAAACAAUCGAUGGUAUCAGCUGCUGUCCUAGACAUCAAGAUCAGCUAGGACAGGAAUCCAAUAAGCACUUGGGCGAAGUGAAACGGAUCUAUGAGCACCAUAUAUUAACGCACGCACUGUAAUUUUUCAGCUUGGUUCUGGUGUGCACUUGACUCAUAAUUGGUCUUGCCGUUGCUUGUUCACUCAAGGAGUUGCUUCUUUAGGUGAGGAAGGGACUCUAGGGUUAAUGUGUCCCGCUUGGAGAAUCGAUAGAAGAAUAAAGAUUGCAGGUUCAACUUAAGCAAAGUUCGGAUUUUUAUGAGAAGCUUAUAUAUAAACAGCUAUGAGUAAUAACUUGGAAUUUGAGGCAUUUACAUCAUAAUCUCAAGUUAAGAUUCAGUUUAUCUUUUUUUUUUUCCAUAAAAUAUCCAUGGGUGUGUUUUCUGUCCGGAAGCUUGCCCCUAUGCCCGGGUGUGAAAUGACCAUCACCCCCUCCUCGUCGAUGCCUGAUCAAGUGCUCUCAUUGGUCGGGCAUAGGGCCAAGCUCCCAGAUAGAAAACUUUCUUCUUAUAUUAUAUAGCUAUAUCUAAUGGAGAUCUCUAUGCCUGGGGUGUGAAAUGACCACCAAAUUCCUCUUAGUUGAUGCGUGAGCGAGUGUUAGCAUUAUACAUGACAUCUUAAAUGUGAGGGAUUGGUCCUUGCCAAUUGAGCUACCCAUCAGAGAUGAUGUCACUUGGAACAUUAUUCUGUUUCUUGAAUUUUGCCAAACUAACCGUAAAACUGCAUCACCUACUAUUCAAUGAGCCUUGCUAUUCUUAGUCAAGCUUGUAAUGGGUAGUCGAUAGGCAGGCUUUCAUUCUAAUUCAUAAUGAAGGUUGAAAUGAGAUGGGUAGUCGAGAGGCUGUGAUCAUUGAUUCUAAACGUAGUGUAAGUGUAGCCACCAACCAAAUUGGGCAAUGACUUUUUAUCAAACUGUACAAUUUUACUUCAUUGAAUCAUUGAUUACAAUAAUUCAAUUUUAUAGGAAAUUAUUGUGAUCAUAAGGAACUUGUUGGCAGCAAGAGCCCCGAAACAUCUUGCAAGGUUUGCACUACACAGUGAGUGAUGAGUGACAGUGAGGAUCCAACGGCUGGGAAGAUAGAGAUGUCGGUAGAUGCUUCAGAUCUAAUCAAAUGGAUGCUGACACAAAGAAUCCCACAAAGAUGGCUUUUGGAUCUGUUUGAUAUCCUUUUUUGAGUAUAUCCUCCUUUAUGACUAAUUGUCAAUUGGGACAAAAAUACUAUGUUGGAGUGUGAAGGAUGUGCAUAGACACAGAAGAGUUGAAAUGACUUUCCCACCCCCAUGAAAGCCAAAAAUGUUUGUCCUACUAAUGCUUCCACAUGUAUUCCCAUUGGUCCCCACACUUCGACAGAGAACUCUUUUCCCUAGUCAAUUUUAUACCUUCUAUAAUGGUAAGGAUGCUCUAUUUGAA